rnacentral:misc_RNA from 1 species
UUUCACGCUACUCGAAAUACGCCCCUCACUCGUGCCAGCAGUGGUGGAUGACUGUGAGCACAGCGACUCAGAAAACCAGUGGCUGCAUCAGCGAGCCACGCGAGGGCCGACUCCGCCUCGUGUACGCGGCGCACCAGAGGCUGGAGGACGAGCUGAGCACGCUUCUUGCCUUCGCCACGGCGGCGAGAAAGCACGACGAAAAUGCAUCGCAGUCCCGUGAUGGCUUCUCACCAUGGACAGGGCUGAUGGAAUCCGCCGUAAAAUGCGUUGACGCCACCUCCCGCUGCCUUCGACUCUUCAAUCCUACAAGGACGAUCACGCAGUCCAAAGGCAUGACUACGCUAGCCAAGCUCUACGGCACAGGCGCAGCACCCCACGAAAGAGUGAUCACCUUUCUUAUGCACAUCCGUGACGCAUUCGACGGCGUGUUGCCUGUAGAAAUCGCGCUAAGCGGCGGGCACUGUCUCCAGAGACUAGACCCAUCCGCUGCAGAUGAGUACCUUUUAGCUUUCGUCACCGACUGGUUAGCGCUAGCAGCUGCGGCGGACGAGCAGGCAGAUCCCUUCCGACGGCGGUUUUGCGACCGACUUUCGACGGACAACGCACAGAAAACGUUUCACCUCCAUUUUCGUGCGGCCGUGCUUCUCCAAAUUGAGUGCGCUGCACAGUCCGGGCGCAAGCACGUCUUCGCAGCGUACAACACGCAGGUGAUGGAUGCUAUUCUGACCCCUUUCACUCGAGAGGAACUACAAAAGUACGAGGCCACGUGCUGGCAAGAAGCAGCGCGGCACCGCGAGGUGGAAAGCGUGGUGGCUGUGCCUUUUGUGUCUGCAGCUCCCGCCUCGACGGUGUCGUCUGCACUCGCCGCAUACAAGCAGCAAGGGACACAGCGGGGCACCUCGACCGAGGCGCGUCGAGGAGGUGCAGUCGCCCCAUCGUCCUCCGGAAUGGCAAACUGGAGGCAUGAUGCCAUCCGCAUUCUUGCCUUCCUCCUCCUGGCAGUUCUGCUUCGCUUUGCGUGGGGCCCUCUGGCAAGGGCGUUGAAGAGCGUCCUGCAAGUCACACGCGCAGCACCGGCACGCCAGCGUACCUUGGCACUGUGAAGAAUGUUUCAAGCUGCCGCAUCCCCCCCCCCUUCGUUGUGCGGCCGGACAGUUUUUUUUUCUCCGUCGUGGAGGAAAGGCACGCAGCGCUCCCUCCCAAGCACUGCCAGCCUCGAUCGGAAACAGCACAAGUGCGGAAGGCAUGCUCGGCUUCUCCGUGCGCAAAGCCAUCCACUCCCAUCACCCUUACCUGCGAGUUCUGCUUAUAAAGAGGUUUCUCUCACGGUAAGUGCUUUUUCUUCCCUACUGUCACGAUAGCCAUCCAGCACUGCGACAACACACGCACACGUCGGUUGUCAUCGCGCACCCCUACUUUCACACCCCGCCGCUGUUUGCCGUGGAAAAACCUCCCCGCUAUCUUUUUGAUUUGAUGGUACGUUCAGCCUGUCUUAUGGGCCACCAUUGUGCUGUGAAGGUGGCUUCCAGAGCGUGUAUGAGCGCAUGUAUAACUCUACCGCCACACAGCGGGCACCACCUCCUUCGGCGGUGCGAUCCCUCUACCCUUUUCCCCAUCUCCUCUUGUUUGCUCUCUAUCGCUUGGAUUCGUAUCGUUUUCGCCUUUCGAACGUCUUUUGUCCCACUCGCUCCUGCGUGUAUGUGCGCAUGUGUGUGUGUGGGGGGGGGGGGCUAUUAAACGCAUGGCAUACAUACAACGACAACAUGUCACAAG